rnacentral:ncRNA from 1 species
UGAAUAGGCAAACCCGGCGAAAGCCGGCGGCGCAAAGCUUAGUGUCUAAAGCAGGUUCUGCUAUGAUUGACUGGCUGC